ensembl:lncRNA
CGGACAGAUAGUUUCUCUCUGUCCUCGGACUCCGCAGCGACAGCGACCUCUGACGAAGCCGUAGACGGGGAAUUGAAGAGAGGGCGCCACCACGAGCCGUUUCCUUAAUUGUCCUUUCAUCACGUCGGGGAGGCGAUGAUAACUUAUAAUGCGAGUGGGACCCCCGGACCCCCCCGACUCCCGGAAAGACCCUGCGUUUGUGUUUUGUCUACAGCCGCUCCAACCUCUCCUUGUUUGUGUGCUCGUGCUACCACGUGUUUCGACUGAGGGGAGGAAAAGCCGCCUGGGAGUCAUUUGCAGAAGCGGGAUGCAGAGAUGUUUGCAAGAAAACUGUCCAGUCUUGGUUUCCUGGACCAUCUGACAGCAUACUGGAAAAACAUAAACAAGAGAGCGAGAGUGUCGCGUUUCAUGGCUUCUAGUGUCGGUGUCCUUUUCUAAAUGUGUUUCAAAUGUUUCACUUCAUUCAUGACAUGAUAAAAAAAACAGUGUUUACG